rnacentral:lncRNA from 1 species
CAGCCGUCUACCUCUGAGGGAGAAUGUGAACCUCCACUUUUCAGGGCACCCGGGGGCUCAGGUGGUUAAGUAUCAGAUGCUUGGUUUCGGCUCAGGUCGUGAUCUCAGGGUCAUGAGACCGAGCCCUGCAUUGGGCUGCACACUCCGGGCACCCCUGCCCAUUCAGACUCGACACGAGACAUCCGUUGCUUCCACAGAAGCUUAAGAAGUCAGGUUCCAGCUUAUGAUUAUUAGCUGACAAGGGAGAAAGCUCUGUGGGCCAGGGAAGGAAGAGACGCGGUGUCCUGUCUCCCUCCCCGGCCACACACACCCACCUGGCCACAGUGGGACCCCAGAUGGGCUGACCCUUCCCACAGAGUCCUGGGGGCACAUGGGGUGCAGCUCCUGCACCAGACUCUGUCCUAGACCCACCAAGACCCAGUUCUUCCCAGGCCUCUUGCUGUUCCAACGCAGAUCAGCAUCCGUAGAAGCAGACGGACCAGGAGGAACCUUGUGUGGUUUUACUGACAGAUUAAUGAUGCGAAGUUUGCGGUGACUAGGGGUGCAGGGGUGCUCAGUGCCCUGGAACGGUGCCCUCGGUGCCCUGCUGUGAUCCUCAUCUCAUAAACAGAACAUUCCAAAGGUUGAUUGGUAAAGCCCGGCGACUUCCUAGCUGCAGCGGGGCGCGCCCCACGGGACCAGCGCGUGACACAGGGUGCGGUGAAGAGCAGACAGACCCCACCCGGGAAGACAGGUCACGGAGCCCUAGGGAGAGACUUUCACAUGAAGCCCCUCCGAGGGCAGCAGCGGCCCUGGGUCGGGAGUCAGGAGCAUGAGCGGCAAACGCCCAGGCUCUGGGCUCACAGUCGACAGGACAUCAGUCCACGGCAGGGAAGACACGAAGGAGAGACCACACGAGUCCCUCAGCCACACUCUGUGCUCCACACCGGACGCCUUCGGGAAGAAGAAAAUACUGGAAAGCAAGACGCUUCCCAAGUGGCUGAAGAACAAGAGAAUGAACAGGCCUGUAGCUGUGGAAACACCAGGCUCGGACGAGAAUUUACCUUCUUCAGACUCCCCGAGAGCAAACACUCCAGUCCCUUCAUCAUCCGCCAGCAGCUGGGCUCCGGCGAGAAGGUAUCGGCACCCGGCCGGCAGCGGUAGCCGUGAGGAGACAGCGUGCCCAGAACCUGACUGCGCAGAAUCCACCAAGGAGACGAUGUGAGGACACCCAGUUCCCGCUUGGGGGGGACUUCUGGGUGUCCCACACACCUGCCCCUCCUCCUGGCACCUCUCCCUGCUGGCAUGAGC